UUACUUAUACACUACCCUCUUUGGUCUUUGAGUUACGAGUAAAGCAGAGAAUAUAUCUCGAUCUAAAUAGAGGUCAUUUUUAUCAACAAAAGUGCUGACUUAUCGACUUACAACUUUUUAUUUGGGUAAAGUUCAGUGCUUUCAUAGACACUGCACACUUUGUUUCAUAGAAAUAAUGGUAUUUAUUCUGAAUUGUAGCAAUUGUGAAAAUUUUUGCCUCUCCUUUUCUUUGUUUCAUGUUUUUCAAUAUUACGACAUCAUUUUAAUCAUUGAACCAUGCAGGAAAUGCUUUCAAAUCUGAAAUAAUUUACCAUUGAAAGUUCUUGUUGGUGAUUGUUAUUGAAGACUAUUACAAACUGAAUGCUUUUGACAUUUGACGGAUUAUUUCCUAGCAUUCUGUUGUUUAUUUUGUUUCUGCGUGAUUGUUGAAAUAUUGAUAUCGUCUCACAAGUUAUGGUUGUGUAUAGGCGUAUUCAUAUGAAUAAAAUAUAUUUUCUGU
rnacentral:misc_RNA from 1 species